CGUGUAGGCGGGAAGAUAAGUCAGGCGUGAAAACCAGAGGCUCAACCUCUGGCCUGCGUUUGAAACUGUUUUUCUUGAGUACUGGAGAGGUUGGCGGAAUUCCUAGUGUAGCGGUGAAAUGCGUAGAUAUUAGGAGGAACACCAGUGGCGAAGGCGGCCAACUGGGCAGCAACUGACGCUGAGGCGCGAAAGCGUGGGGAGCAAACA
rnacentral:rRNA from 1 species